GCUGGGCCCAGGGACGUACGCCUGUAAUCCCAGCAGCUCGGGAGGCUGAAGCAGGAGGAUUGCAAGUUCAGAGCCAUCCUCAGCAAAAGCGAGGUGCUAAGCAACUCAGUGAGACCCUGUCUCUA
rnacentral:sRNA from 1 species